CCGGUUAGGGUUUCUUACGCUUCGGCGAAAUUAGACCUAUAAAUAUGCGCUUCCAUCUGCAGCGGUUGCUCUGUGAUUACAUGCCUUAACAGGGCAAUAUACGCUAUUCUGAAGAUGAAAGUUGUGUAGAGAUCUACUGAAAUGAAAUGAGAGCUUCUGCUACAGUUUGUGUUUUUCGUGUUUUGUUUAUUUGUUUUGAGAUUUUUGAAUUUUUAUUUUUAUUUUGCGAUGAUGAAUUAUGAAUUAAAUUCACAUGUCAGACUUCGGAGAUUUUUCUUUUCUCGGAAAGAUAAGUCGAUGAGAAUGAAUAUUCAUAUUCUGAGCUUAAGUUUCGGUUUAAUCCUUUGGUUUUAGCAUCUUGUAAUUCUUGGAUUCAUUAUAUUUCAUGGGACUUUUUUUGUUCAUUUGCCAUCGAAGCCUUUGUCUUAGCCUAAGCCUGCGCACCAAAGAUUUUCUAAUGGAAUGAUGAAGGAAUUUUGUAGAUUUAUAUCGUUCCAAAACUUGUAUGUUCACUUUGUUCUUCGUUUGUUCGUGUCAAGCUUUUUUCUUUCAAGGAAUGGAAUAAGAGGGUGUUUGGGACUGAGAGGAUUGGAAGUGGGGCUUUCUUCCAGAUCUAAUUUUGGAAUUGUCAAAUAGCUUAAGGAGCAUUACAUUUUUUAGAGGAUGAGAAGUUAUACGAAGAGUAACAACGGAAUCGUGCAAUUGUUUAGAUUUUCCCCGUGCUGCUUAUGGAACAAAAAUCUGGAUUUAGGAUGAGAUUUAUCCUAAGAAACCGGAGGAACUAAGAUUGUUAUCGGAAUCGAUUUUUAAAAUUAUCGUGGUUACAAUAUUUAAAAAAUA